CUCAGUGCAGGGAGAGAGAGGGCUGCCUGGACCAAAAGGUGAACCCGGAUCUAAAGGUGAUGCUGGUUUCCCUGGAAUUCCAGGUGCUCCAGGUGCAAUGGGACACGCAGGCCCUGAGGGUCCUAAAGGACAGAAAGGAAGCCAAGGUGAACAUGGGAUGGAGGG